rnacentral:rRNA from 1 species
AUUGAACGCUGGCGGCAUGCCUUACACAUGCAAGUCGAACGGCAGCAUGAUCUAUCUUGCUAGAUUGAUGGCGAGUGGCGAACGGGUGAGUAAUACAUCGGAACGUGCCCUGUAGUGGGGGAUAACUAGUCGAAAGAUUAGCUAAUACCGCAUACGACCUGAGGUUGAAUGUGGGGGACCGCAAUGCCUCAUGCUAUAGGAGCGGCCGAUGUCUGAUUAGCUAGUUGGUGAGGUAAAGGCUCACCAAGGCGACGAUCAGUAGCUGGUCUGAGAGGACGAUCAGCCACACUGGGACUGAGACACGGCCCAGACUCCUACGGGAGGCAGCAGUGGGGAAUUUUGGACAAUGGGCGAAAGCCUGAUCCAGCAAUGCCGCGUGUGGGAAGAAGGAGUUCGGGUUGUAAAGCACUUUUGUCCGGAAAGAAAUGGCUCUGGUUAAUACCUGGGGUCGAUGACGGUACCGGAAGAAUAAGGACCGGCUAACUACGUG